UUGAAGAAGCUAAAUAGCUUUGAAUACUACCAGUUUAAGGAAUCUGGUGGUUAUUAUCUGGCAACUACAGAAUUAAGGCUUAAGACUCUGAUGAGUAUAUGCUCAGAUGCUUACACAGGUCCACUAAAAAGACAACCUUUACUUUUUUUCUAACUCCUCUGCUGUCUUGUGUUUGCAGGAUUUUUUUCCCCUUCACCUUCAUCUUCUGGCAUUGAUGUUGAAUACUGAUGAGGUAGUUCAUCUACAGACAAUCAUUUUCAGCAACAGACGAGAAACACUGAAACCAGCAAAUCUCAAGCUUUUGGAGUUAUCAAUAACACCAUGUUGAAGAACAAUACAGAGAGAAAGAUCAGGGCGGUGUGUCAAUGAUGGAUGGAUUUCUUUAGUGGUCCAGAUCAUCAUUUGACAUAAAUCAGUCAAGUGCUAAUGCAGCCCAUGGGGCUAUACCAAUUUUCUACAAUUUAGGAUGUUUCCCAGAUAUGCAAGGGAAAUGUUUUGUUUCCAAACAUGGCUGGCUAGUUUAAGGUUCCCAUUUCUGUGUUUGGACAGUUACUAUAAUUCAGAUACCUAAAAUCCCAUUGUAAAUGUCAAGAGAAGGAAUUUAAUAGCCCUAAUCCUUUCUUUGUGCCCCAGUGUCCUGAUUUGUAAAAUGAAUGUAGGAGCGUCUCAAAGAGGUGUUGUGAGAUUUAUUUG